UACGGGGGGAGCAAGCGUUGUUCGGAUUUACUGGGCGUAAAGGGCGCGUAGGCGGCGUGACAAGUCACUUGUGAAAUCUCCGGGCUUAACCCGGAGCGGUCAAGUGAUACUGUCGUGCUAGAGUGCGGAAGGGGCUACUGGAAUUCUCGGUGUAGCGGUGAAAUGCGUAGGUAUCGAGAGGAACACCUGCGGCGAAGGCGGGUAGCUGGGCCGACACUGACGCUGAUGCGCGAAAGCCAGGGGAGCGAACGGG
rnacentral:rRNA from 1 species